rnacentral:rRNA from 1 species
GCUUGUCUCAAAGAUUAAGCCAUGCAAGUGUAAGUAUAAUUGUUUUACGGUGAAACUGCGAAUGGCUCAUUAAAUCAGUUAUAGUUUAUUUGAUGCUAUAGGCCGCAAGGCCACUACAUGGAUAUCUGUAGUAACAUAGAGCUAAUACAUGCAAUAUAGUCUGACUUUUUGGAAGGACUAGCACUUAUUAGAUAUUAAACCAGUCCCAGCAAUGGGUUUUUUGGUGAUUCAUAGUAACUGAACAAAUCACAUGGUCUCGUACCGGUGAUGUUUCAUUCAAAUUUCUGCCCUAUCAACUAGAUGGUAGUAUAUAGGACUACCAUGGUUGUAACGGGUAACGGAGGAUUAGGGGUUUGAUUCCGGAGAAGGAGCAUGAGAAACGGCUACUAUUUCUAAGGAAAGCAGCAGGCG